rnacentral:rRNA from 1 species
UACGGAGGGAGCUAGCGUUGUUCGGAAUUACUGGGCGUAAAGCGCACGUAGGCGGCUUUGUAAGUUAGAGGUGAAAGCCCGGAGCUCAACUCCGGAACUGCCUUUAAGACUGCAUCGCUUGAAUCCAGGAGAGGUGAGUGGAAUUCCGAGUGUAGAGGUGAAAUUCGUAGAUAUUCGCAAGAACACCAGUGGCGAAGGCGGCUCACUGGCCCGGUACUGACGCUGAGGCACGAAAGCGUGGGGAGCAAACAGG